rnacentral:rRNA from 1 species
AGGACGAACGCUGGCGGCGUGCCUAACACAUGCAAGUCGAACGAGGUCCAUCCUUCGGGAGAAGACCUAGUGGCGAACGGGUGUGUAACACGUGAAGAACCUGCCCCGAAGACCGGGAUAACCCUCCGAAAGGAGAGCUAAUACCGGAUACCCCCACCGAACCGCAUGGUUUGGUGAGGAAAUGGAUUCCGCUUCGGGAGGGCUUCGCGGCCUAUCAGCUAGUUGGUGGGGUAACGGCCCACCAAGGCAUCGACGGGUAGCUGGUCUGAGAGGACGAUCAGCCACACUGGGACUGAGACACGGCCCAGACUCCUACGGGAGGCAGCAGUGGGGAAUCUUGCGCAAUGGGCGAAAGCCUGACGCAGCAACGCCGCGUGGGGGAUGAAGGCUCUCGGGUUGUAAACCCCUUUCAGCAGGGACGAAUCAAGACGGUACCUGCAGAAGAAGCCCCGGCUAACUACGUG